rnacentral:rRNA from 1 species
GUCGAGCGGACAGAUGGGAGCUUGCUCCCUGAUGUUAGCGGCGGACGGGUGAGUAACACGUGGGUAACCUGCCUGUAAGACUGGGAUAACUCCGGGAAACCGGGGCUAAUACCGGAUGCUUGUUUGAACCGCAUGGUUCAAACAUAAAAGGUGGCUUCGGCUACCACUUACAGAUGGACCCGCGGCGCAUUAGCUAGUUGGUGAGGUAAUGGCUCACCAAGGCAACGAUGCGUAGCCGACCUGAGAGGGUGAUCGGCCACACUGGGACUGAGACACGGCCCAGACUCCUACGGGAGGCAGCAGUAGGGAAUCUUCCGCAAUGGACGAAAGUCUGACGGAGCAACGCCGCGUGAGUGAUGAAGGUUUUCGGAUCGUAAAGCUCUGUUGUUAGGGAAGAACAAGUACCGUUCGAAUAGGGCGGUACCUUGACGGUACCUAACCAGAAAGCCACGGCUAACUACGUGCCAGCAGCCGCGGUAAUACGUAGGUGGCAAGCGUUGUCCGGAAUUAUUGCGCGUAGAGGGCUCGCACGCGGUUUCUUAUGUCUGAUGUGA